rnacentral:lncRNA from 1 species
AAUUUUGGAUGGAAAUGGAAGAGGGGAGGUCAAGGGAUGAUUUCCAGGUGAAGAAUGGGUGACUUUCGUCGGAAAAGUAGUGGGAUUUAGCUGGAAUUGGAACCAGGUUGCAACCGGUUUUAUUUUGGGGGCACGGGUCGGCUGGGUUGGUUGCUCCACACCUCCCUCCUUUCCCUCCUGGUUCUUCUCUCCCAUUUGUCACUCUCACUCUCCUCC